rnacentral:lncRNA from 1 species
AACUGAUAUCCAUCACUUCACCAAGAUUCAAAUAUCCAUCGCUUUGCAUUUUAUAGCAAUCAAGCGUUGACCUAAACCGUUUUUCGUGUGCCAACAUAAAAGCAAUCAAAACAAUUGGCAUUGAUGCACCAUUGUUUAAGUUUGUUCACUACAAAAGGUUCUGAAUUAUCACAUGUCCAAGGCAUACACACUUUCGAAUAGGAUUGAGUUGCAAGGUGAAAAUCACUAGUCCUACUCAGGUCUUUUCGCCACUCCGCAUCGACAUCAAGUACCACAACUCGAUGUUCGUUGAACUACAAAAAAAGAGUAAGAAAGUUAGCACCAUGUAUCCAACUGAGAAUUGUAACAAUUACAUGAACACAUGAUCACUAUAGCUUAGAUUUUUAAUAACAAUCAGCAGAACUUGUUGAGAAAAAAGAUAAGAGCCAGAAUACUAACUUCUGUUUCAGGUUAUAGUGUCAUACAUUUCAGUAAUAAUUACUAAAUAACUUAAGACGGAAGAAUGGAAGAUGAUAAGCAAUAUAUCUUUAUUGUGAAGCUUCCCGCCAAUAUAUAAUUUCAAAAUUAGUAAAAAUGGGGACAAAAAAAAUGUAUGAGGGGAAAAGUAAGGACAAAACAAACAUGGAUUUUUUAGUGCGGAGAAGUAAAGGACUCUAUCUAUAAAAGGACGUAAGGCAGCCAAACAAACAAUUCACAAACAAUGUAUUCUCCGGCAGUGUCGUAAGUGUUAAUGAAUGCAUAGCAGAACUUCUGCAACAAAUAUAAAAAAAUUGUUAUUGUUCUUCAGAAGAAGACCCUAACCAACAGUAAGCAUCACUUCUAAAAAUAUAGUACUAAGGAAGAUUCAAACCUGGAGCUAGCACAAGCACGAUGGAAGUACCAAAUUACUAAUAGAUAUAUGGCACGUGCCCACACUCCACUGCUGUUACAAGUUACUUCCCUGAUAAGUGAAUCUGUAACUAGCUAGUUGAUACUUGGCAGUACUUUCUCUUGCUUAAGCAAGACCCUGCAGUUAUUUGCAAGAAAGGAAAAUUAACAUCGGUGUAGAACUUUUGCUGUUACUAAUUGGCACUUUGUAAGCUGGCAGUGCUAUAUCCAUGCGUUGUGUUUCUUGCUUAAUCAAGGUCUGUGAGUCAAUGCCAUCUAACUAGACAGCCAGAAGGAAUAACAUCACCAACCAGGCAACCGCAUCUCUUGCUGACUAGUCAAUCAAUUUAUACCAACAGAUAAAUUUAAGCUUCUUCACAUCACAUCUUAUGAUUGUGUGACAAAACUAAGGAGAAGGCAUCCAGGGAUGACUUUCACAUACCUUUCUUCAUCAGAUGAAAUCUUUUCAAUGACCAACGAACCAAAAGGCACUUAGCCACUGAACACAACGCCGCCGCCACCGCCUAGCGUUUUCGGAUAAAGCAAAUCAUUUGCUAAUGUCAGAGGCUCAGGGCACCUGCAUUUGGCACACAAUCGAAUACUUAUCAGUUCAGGACACAAAAGUUUGCGUGAAAAUGCACGAAAACACAGACUGUAGGAAAGGCAACACACAUCUGCACCACGGAAACACAAAAACAACACC